UCUCCCGUGAGGGAGCAGUCUCGCCUGGCCAUAUAGGCAACAGACAACGGGGGUUGCGUUCGUUACCCCACUGAAGGGAACAGUUCAAACCACGAACUGACGACGGCCAUGCAUCACCUGUCCAGCACCCUCGAAGGCUCCCCUCCUUUCAGAGAGGAUGCAGCUGGAUUUCUAACCUUGGUAAGGUUCUUCGUUUGACGACGAAUUAAGCCACAUAAUCCACUGCUUGUGCGAGUCCCCGUCUAUUCCUUUGAGUUUUAAUCUUGCGAUCGUACUACCCAGGCGGCUCGCUUACCGCGUUAGCUUAGCCUCACAGAGGGUCGAUACUCCGUAAAGCGAGCGAGCAACGUUGAGGGCCAGGACUAC
rnacentral:misc_RNA from 1 species